rnacentral:rRNA from 1 species
AGUGAACGCUGGCGGUAGGCCUAACACAUGCAAGUCGAACGGCAGCACAGUAAGAGCUUGCUCUUACGGGUGGCGAGUGGCGGACGGGUGAGGAAUACAUCGGAAUCUACUUUUUCGUGGGGGAUAACGUAGGGAAACUUACGCUAAUACCGCAUACGACCUACGGGUGAAAGCAGGGGAUCUUCGGACCUUGCGCGAUUGAAUGAGCCGAUGUCGGAUUAGCUAGUUGGCGGGGUAAAGGCCCACCAAGGCGACGAUCCGUAGCUGGUCUGAGAGGAUGAUCAGCCACACUGGAACAGAGACACGGUCCACACUGCUACGGGAAGACACAGUGGGGAAUAUUGGGCAAAGGGGGCGAGCCUGAUCCAGCCAUACCGCGUAGGUGAAGAAGGCCUUCGGGUUGUAAAGUCCUGUUGUUGGGAAAGAAAAGCAGCAGGUUAAUACCCCGCUGUUCUGACGGUACCCAAAGAAUAAGCACCGGCUAACUUCGUG